UUUUACCUGCGUUAGGGAUGGGAACGACAUCCUUUUUUGUGGCUUUUUCAGGCACAAAAAAGAUAUAGUGUACAGCCCGACCCUUG
rnacentral:sRNA from 1 species